GACGAACGCUGGCGGCGUGCUUAACACAUGCAAGUCGAACGGAAAGGCCCUGCUUUUGUGUGGUGCUCGAGUGGCGAACGGGUGAGUAACACGUGAGUAACCUGCCCUUGACUUUGGGAUAACUUCAGGAAACUGGGGCUAAUACCGGAUAGGAGCUCCUGCUGCAUGGUGGGGGUUGGAAAGUUUCGGCGGUUGGGGAUGGACUCGCGGCUUAUCAGCUUGUUGGUGGGGUAGUGGCUUACCAAGGCUUUGACGGGUAGCCGGCCUGCGCGGGUGACCGGCCACAUUGGGACUGAGAUACGGCACAGACUCCUACGGGAGGCAGCAGUGGGGAAUAUUGCACAAUGGGCGGAAGCCUGAUGCAGCAACGCCGCGUGCGGGAUGACGGCCUUCGGGUUGUAAACCGCUUUCGCCUGUGACGAAGCGUGAGUGACGGUAAUGGGUAAAGAAGCACCGGCUAACUACGUG
rnacentral:rRNA from 1 species